GUGGCAACAAAUAAUAGUCAGGAUCAUUAAUCUCCUUGGAAAGCGGGAUAGCAACUGUUUUCAGGUUUAUUGAAUUUUACCCUCGACAUUCAGGGUUUUGCAUACCAGGUAAAGCAGCAGACUCUCUCUGCGUUUAUCCUCCAUUAACUUAUUUCCAUUGAUUUUUCAAGCGGACUUCCUUCUAGACGAGACUGGUAAUGACAAAGAGAUCAAGCAAUCAGAUGACAGUCAAAGAGAUUUCUAUUUCAUUAUGAACGCUACUUUAAUGUGACGGUUUCAGUGCUUUUUACAGUGGCGGUUUUAGUUGCAGUCCUACAGGACCCAACACAGAAAGGGCUACAAUUUCGACAUUCUUUUGGUGCUGUUAGGGUUGUGGUGGUGAGGCUCAGAGCAGGAACUCUGAAAGGGCUUUGCUGGCACAGGUUACCUUAGCUUAUGAAGGAGUUGGGCAAAAUACCUUAUCUUAUGAAGAUAAUUAGUCGGUUGUUGAAAUGAAUUCCAGUGUUGUGGGGUUAAGAAAACUGUUGUAUCUUGCACGUUUAUUCACUCGAUGGAUAAUUUUUUUCCAGGAUGCUAUCAUAAACUAUAUGGUCUAUUAUUUUAAUUCAAACCCUUACCUUUAUUUAUAAG